rnacentral:lncRNA from 1 species
CGAGUUGCGGGGUCCCCCCCGGUGUCACCUCGGGGGGGGGGGGGGACGUGUCCUUGGUGUCACCCGGAGCCGUCACCUCGUCCCCGUUGUCACCCCGUGGGUGCUGGUGUCACCCCCCGGGCUGUGGGAGCGUGUCCUUGGUGUCACCCGGACCUGUCUUUGUCACCCGGUGUCACCCAGAGCUGUCACCUCCUCGAUGUCACCUCAUCAGUCUCGGGGUCCUCCUUGGUGUCACCCUGUGUCCUUGUCCCCCCGGUGUCACCUCGUGGGGGGUGGGAACUUGGUCUUGUCACCUGGAGCCGUCACCUCAUCCCCAUUGUCACCCCACGGAUCUCGGGGUCCUCCCCGGUGUCACCUCGUCUCCUUGUUCCCAAUGGUGUCACCCAGAGCUGUCACCUCGUCCUUGCUGUCACCCCUCGGAUCACAGGGUCCUCCCUGGUGUCACCCCAUGGGGACCUGUCCAUGUCACCCGGAGCUGUCACCCUGUGGGUCUUGGGGUCCUCCCUGGUGUCACCCCGUGUCCUUGAUCCCAACGGUGUCACCUGGAGCUGCCCUUGUCCCUUGUCCCCAACGGUGUCACCUCGUGGGGGGUGGGGACUUGGUCUUGUCACCCGGAGCCAUCACCUCCUCCUUGUUGUCACCUCGUGGGUCAUGGGGUCCUUCCUGGUGUCACCCUGUCUCCUUGAUCCCAAUGGUGUCACCAGGACCUGGCCUCGUCCCCAACGGUGUCACCUCGUGGGGGGUGGGGACCUGUCCUCGUCACCCGGAGCCAUCACCUUGUCCUCGUUGUCACCUCGUGGGUCUUGGGGUCCUCCCUGGUGUCACCCCACGGACCAUAGGGAUGUGUCCUUGUCACCCAGAGCUGUCACCUCACCCUUGUUGUCACCUCGUGGGUCUCGGUGUCACCCCAUGGGCCAUGGGGACGUGUCCUUGUCACCUGGUGUCACCCGGAGCUGCCCUUGUCCCCAAUGGUGUGACCUCGGGGGGGGUGGGGACCUGGCCUUGUCUGUCCUCGUCACCCGGAGCCAUCACCUUGUCCUCGUUGUCACCUCGUGGGUCUUGGGGUCCUCCCUGGUGUCACCCCACGGACCAUAGGGAUGUGUCCUUGUCACCCAGAGCUGUCACCUCACCCUUGUUGUCACCUCGUGGGUCUCGGUGUCACCCCAUGGGCCAUGGGGACGUGUCCUUGUCACCUGGUGUCACCCGGAGCUGCCCUUGUCCCCAAUGGUGUGACCUCGGGGGGGGUGGGGACCUGGCCUUGUCACCCGGAGCUGUCACCUCAUCCUCGUUGUCACCCCUUGGGUCACGGGGUCCUUCCUGGUGUCACCCGGAGCUGGCCUUGUCCCUGAUGUUGUCACCUUGUGGGGCGUGGGGACCUGUUCUUGGUGUCACCCAGAGCUGUCACCUCCUCGUUGUCACCCUGUGGGUCUCAGGUUCCUCCCCAGUGUCACCCCACAGGCCAUGGGGACGUGUCCUUGUCACCCAGUGUCACCCGGAGCUGUCACCUCCUCCUCGCUGUCACCCCACAGCUCAUGGGGUCCUCACUGGUGUCACCUCAUGGGGGGUGGGGACCCCUCCUUGUCACCCGGAGCUGUCACCUCGACCCUGUUGUCACCUCGUGGGUCACAGGGUCCUCCCUGGUGUCACCCCGUGUCCUUGUCCCCCCCGGU